rnacentral:rRNA from 1 species
UGGACGAAAGUCUGAUGGAGCAACGCCGCGUGAACGAUGAAGGCUUUCGGGUCGUAUAGUUCUGUUGUAAGGGAAGAACAAGUGCUGCCUGCAAUGGCAACACCUUGACGGUUCCUUGCGAGAAAGCCACUGCUGACUACGUUCCAAAAGCCGCGGUAAUACGUAGGUGGCAAGCGUUGUCCGGAAUUAUUGGGCGUAAAGCGCGCGCAGGCGGCCUUCUUAGUUCGAUGUGAAAGCCCCCGGCUCAACCGGGGAGGGCCAUUGGAAACUGGGAGGCUUGAGUAUAGGAGAGAAGAGUGGAAUUCCACGUGUAGCGGUGAAAUGCGUAGAGAUGUGGAGGAACACCAGUGGCGAAGGCGACUCUUUGGCCUAUAACUGACGCUGAGGCGCGAAAGCGUGGGGAGCAAACAG